rnacentral:rRNA from 1 species
CCUACGGGAGGCUGCAGUGGGGAAUAUUGCACAAUGGGGGGAAACCCUGAUGCAGCAACGCCGCGUGAAGGAAGACGGUUUUCGGAUUGUAAACUUCUAUCAAUAGGGAAGAAAGAAAUGACGGUACCUAAAUAAGAAGCCCCGGCUAACUCAGUGCCAGCAGCCGCGGUAAUACGUAGGGGGCAAGCGUGAUCCGGAAUUACUGGGUGUAAGGGGAGAGUAGGGGGGAAGGUAAGGGAUAUGUGAAAGCCUUAAGCUUAACUUAAGGAUGGCAUAACGAACUAUCUAGCUAGAGUACAGGAGAGGAAAGCGGAAUUCCUAGUGUAGCGGGGAAAUGCGUAGAUAUUAGGAAGAACACCAGUGGCGAAGGCGGCUUUCUGGACUGAAACUGACGCUGAGGCUUGAAAGCGUGGGGAGCGAACAGGAGUAGAUACCCCAGUAGUC